rnacentral:lncRNA from 1 species
AGCCCGUGUACAAUCUCUGCAGUGUCCAGCAGAGGGAGCCCUAGCCACAGUGCUGGCUCCCGCUGCCCCGGUGGUCCUGAGGUCAGAGGGUCAAGACAAGGUCUCCCCGGCUCCUCCUGAGCGCCGCGCGGUCCAGGGCUGGAGUCUGGGCUGGGGGGUGUGCGGUGGGGAGGGGGGGCGGAGAGGGCCACGGCAGCCCAGCCUCGAUCCCACCCCCACCCCCCCAACCUGGCCCCCAGCCCUCCCGCCGGCCCAGCCCGCCGGGCCGCAAGCCCGGACCACCCGCGAGAAGCGCAAAC